rnacentral:rRNA from 1 species
GAUAAACGCUGACAGAAUGCUUAACACAUGCAAGUCGAUGAUGGGAGCUAGCUUGCUAGAAGAAGUCAUGGCGGACGGGUGAGUAACGUGUAAAGAACUUACCAUAUAGACUGGGAUAACAGAGGGAAACUUCUGAUAAUACUGGAUAAGUUAGUAGUAGCAUUACUAAGUAAUGAAAGGUAGCAAUACGCUAUAUGAGAGCUUUGCAUCCUAUUAGCUAGUUGGUGGGGUAAAAGCCUACCAAGGCGAUGAUAGGUAGCCGGCCUGGGAGGGUGGACAGCCACAAGGGGACUGAGAUACGGCCCUUACUCCUACGGGAGGCAGCAGUGGGGAAUAUUGGACAAUGGAGGCAACUCUGAUCCAGCAAUUCUGUGUGUGUGAAGAAGGUUUUAGGACUGUAAAACACUUUUAGUAGGGAAGAAAGAAAUGACGGUACCUACAGAAGAAGCGACGGCUAAAUACGUG